AAAGCCGACGUGAAGGUGAUGCGCGGGAGCACAGAUCCGGGGCAGUGCGCUGCGCAGACGCGCGCGGCGAAGCCGAGUGGGCGCGGGAGUGACGUCACGGCGCGCGACGCGGGGGCGGGGUCGGGCCUGGGUCAGACUGUGGUGGGUAGCGGGUCCCGGGUUGCGGGUUGCAAGUUGCAAGCCGCAAGCCGCAGGCCCCAGGCAACUGCCUUCCCGGCGCCAUGUUCGGCUCCAGUCGCGGAGGCGUGCGCGGCGGGCAGGACCAGUUCAACUGGGAGGACGUGAAGACUGACAAGCAGCGGGAGAACUACCUGGGUGGGUGCGCGCGGUGGGCGGGCUCCGGGCUCCGGGAUCCCGGGCGGGCGCUGGACUUACAGCGUCUACGUCCGCAGGCAACUCGCUGAUGGCGCCCGUAGGCCGCUGGCAGAAGGGCCGCGACCUCACCUGGUACGCCAAGGGCCGGGCGCCGUGCGCGGGCCCGAGCCGCGAGGAGGAACUGGCAGCCGUGCGGGAGGCGGAGCGCGAGGCGCUGCUGGCCGCCCUUGGCUACAAGAACGUGAAGAAGCAACCCACGGGCCUGAGCAAGGAGGACUUCGCGGAGGUCUGCAAGCGGGAAGGAGGCGACCCCGAGGAGAAGGGCGUGGACCGGCUGCUGGGGCUGGGGAGCGCCAGGUGCGGGCGGGUUUCCAGGGGAGGGCAGGACUGGGCUCGAUUGCUCGGGUGAGGCGGGCCCCUGUCGUACUGUCUUCAUCGCCGUGUCCCUGCAGUGGCUCCGUGGGCCGCGUGGCGAUGUCCCGAGAGGAUAAGGAGGCCGCCAAACUGGGGCUGUCUGUGUUCACGGUAAUCCCCCGCCCCGCCUGACCGCAGCAGGGGCCAACGAGUGGGGCGGGGCGGGGGCACUGAACGGAGCUCCCCGGGGCGCUGCGGAGCGUGGUGUGGGGCCGGCCCGCAGACUCCUCCGCAGAGCUCUCUUCUCCUGCAGCAUCACCGCGUAGAGAGCGGCGGGCCCGGGACCUCGGCAGCCUCGGCCAGGAGGAAGCCGCGGGCGGAGGAUCAGAGGGAAAGCAGGUGAGGCUGCGCCAACUGGGCGAGCUGCGCCCCGGGGUGGGGGGUCUCGGGAGGACUGGAGCGGCUCCCGCUCGGGCAGGUGGCAGCUUCUCUUGGCGCACCGGCCCGGCCGGUGGCCUGCCCUACUUUACUUCCUGUCCCACUUACUCCUAGGUUUUUCUCUAGGGGAGUUUCUCGGGGCACCCUUGAAGAGAGGUCCUAAGUACUGGCAUGGUCGGGGGCAGUGCCGUGGGAGGGCACACAGGACCUGGGGCGGGGCCUUUUCCUGCCGUGGGUGACACUUCCAGGGCUUCUCCCGGGUGGUGAGCCUGGGCCUGACCCCAAGAGUGGCCUGGUGGGUGCGGGUAGGAAGGUGUCAACCCGCCAAGGGCACGGCUGGGGUGGGGCAGGGCCGUGCUGUGGAGAUGGGGCUGUUGCAUCUGUUUAUAACCCACAUAGCCACUGGCCACGUGACUACGUAACUGAGGAGUGGAAUUUGUAGUCUGAUUUAACUGAUUUAAAGACGCACUUGUGGGUGGUGGCUUCAUCUCCUGGAUGGGGCCUGCUUGUGUUCACUCUCUUGGCCUGCAAGACUUGGGUCUGAGGCACACCUUGUAUCCUCCUUGUAGUUGUGAGAGCCACAGGAAAAGCAAGAAGGAGAAGAAGAAAAAGAAAAAGAGAAAACACAAGAAACAGAAGAAGAAGAAAGACAAAGAACACAGGCGGCCAGCUGAGGCCACCUCCUCUCCCACAUCUCCUGAGAGGUAUGCCCUGGUCCAUGUCUGCCUCUUGGGGGUGGGGGCCUGGUUGACUCCUUCCGAGUGACUGCCAUUGGUCUCCCCAGGCCCAGGUACCACCACGACUCCGACUCCAACUCCCCCUGCUGUAAGAGGAGGAAGCGGGGACACAGUGGGGACAGGAGGAGCCCGUCGCGCAGGUGGCAUGACAGAGGCUCUGAGGCCUGAUGGCUGGACCCUGCUCACUGCUAUUGUGGGACCCUGAACCCUCUCUUCACCUUGCUUGCCUCCUGCCUCGGAAGCUCCUCGGGUGUGGGUGAAGCCCGAGGCUGCUCCUGUGGAAGUGGCUCUGGGCACCAGCCUGUGGGGCUAAAGACUUGACAGCUAGCUCUGGAGCAGCCAGCUUCCUGGAAAACCUCCAGGUUUCGCAUAGCAGGGGAUGGCCCCUGGCUUGCCUUGCGAAGGUGAACCUGCCCAGACGUACCAGUAGAGGCUGGACUCCCUCUGUCCUGCCCAUGGCUGCAGCAGCCAUGGGCCUAUGAGCGGUCUAACUGUGGCCAAGUAUGGUGACCUCUAUUUUUCUUUAUAUUGACUCUUUGUAUUUCAAUAAACAUAUUUUAAAAGGAAGGUAU
rnacentral:sRNA from 1 species